GUAACUCUCCGUCCUGUGUUAUUAACUAAUUCCACCUUUAGAUUAAGCCCGAACAAGCCAAGAAGGCAGAAGGAAACAUUUUCAACAACCAGUAGCCAUUUGCUGACAUUUCUGGCCAUUUCUAAGACAAAAUCAAAAUACUCUCCUAAAAUGAAAUAAAAAAUGAAUUCUUUAGAAAUGCCAUCAGUCUAAAGAUAUUUUUGUAUGACACACGUGGUGGAGAGAGGCUCGGCGAUAAGCGGUUGGAAUUCAACCGGAGUCUGGUAACAGACUGGAGUUACUGUGGAAUUAAAUUGGCCAGUUCCUUAACUUGUUAAAUGCCCAAAAUUUGCACUCUUAACGACGUAAGAUAAAAAGACGAUUGCACAUUUAAGUUCAACGACGUUUCGGUUUAAAAGCUUGGAUAUAGAAAACUAUAAUUGAUUUCUUACGGAAAAUGUUCCAUGUUCAAUCUCCAUAUCUAACUAGAUUACACCAAUGGGUAUUUAUACAGAGUUCUGCCCGAUGUAUCUUCAAAACGUUUCAAUCAAAAUUUCAAAUGAAAUACUUGUGUCUCAUUUUGUUCGCCACGUCAGUGGCUGGCCGGUUCACGGAAGACUUUUAUCGACUCUUAGCCAAGGAUAAUGCCCAGAAGAAUCUUAUUGC